GACGAACGCUGGCGGCGUGCUUAACACAUGCCAGUCGAACGGUGAACGAGGGAGCUUGCUCCCUCCGGAUCAGUGGCGAACGGGUGAGUAACACGUGAGCAAUCUGCCCCGAACUCUGGGAUAAGCGUUGGAAACGACGUCUAAUACCGGAUACGACGCGGGAGGGCAUCCUCUCCGCGUGGAAAGAACUUCGGUUCGGGAUGAGCUCGCGGCCUAUCAGCUUGUUGGUGAAGUAACGGCUCACCAAGGCGACGACGGGUAGCCGGCCUGAGAGGGUGACCGGCCACACUGGGACUGAGACACGGCCCAGACUCCUACGGGAGGCAGCAGUGGGGAAUAUUGCACAAUGGGCGCAAGCCUGAUGCAGCAACGCCGCGUGAGGGACGACGGCCUUCGGGUUGUAAACCUCUUUUAGCAGGGAAGAAGCGAAAGUGACGGUACCUGCAGAAAAAGCACCGGCUAACUACGUG
rnacentral:rRNA from 1 species